rnacentral:rRNA from 1 species
AUUGAACGCUGGCGGCAGGCCUAACACAUGCAAGUCGAACGAGCGGCGGACGGGUGAGUAAUGUAUGGGGACUGCCCGUUAGCGGGGGAUAACUACUGGAAACGGUAGCUAAUACCGCAUACUAUCUGCUAACCCAUAUGGGAUUAGCUAGUAGGUGAGGUAAUGGCUCACCUAGGCGACGAUCCCUAGCUGCUCUGCGAGGAUGAUCAGCCACACGGGGACUGAGACACGGCCCAGAGUCCUACGGGGGCAGCAGUGGGGAAUAUUGGGCAAGGGGCGAAGGCCUGAUGCAGCCAGGCCGCGUGUAUGAAGAAGGCCCUAGGGUUGUAAAGUACUUUCAGUGGGGAGGCGGUACCGACAGAAGAAGCACCGGCUAACUCCGUGCCAGCAGCCGCGGUAAUAC